UACGGAGGGGGCUAGCGUUGUUCGGAAUUACUGGGCGUAAAGCGCACGUAGGCGGCUUUGUAAGUUAGAGGUGAAAGCCCGAGGCUCAACCUCGGGUCGGCCGUGCGAACUGGGUCACUGGAGCAGAAUAGAGGCAGGUGGAAUUCCGGGUGUAGCGGUGGAAUGCGUAGAGAUCCGGAAGAACACCGGUGGCGAAGGCGGCCUGCUGGGUUCUGGCUGACACUGAGGCGCGACAGCGUGGGGAGCGAUCCGG
rnacentral:rRNA from 1 species